GACGUAGGGGGCCAGCGUUGUUCGGAAUUACUGGGUGUAAAGCGUGCGCAGGCGGUUUUGUAAGCCAGAUGUGAAAUCCCCGGGCUUAACCUGGGAAUGGCAUUUGGGACUGCAAGGCUGGAGUUUGGCAGAGGAGACUGGAAUUCCCGGUGUAGCAGUGAAAUUCGUAGAUAUCGAGAGGAACACCGGUGGCGAAGGCGGCUAUCUGGACAGUGACUGACGCUGAGACGCGAAAGCGUGGGGAGCAAACAGG
rnacentral:rRNA from 1 species